rnacentral:lncRNA from 1 species
GUGCGUUCCGUGCGGAAGAUGGAAUUUUGUCCGGCGCUCAGUUUGCUCUGAAUGCGGAGCGUGCCGAAGCAUUUCAGAAGAAAACCAUUGAUCCCCCCAUUCAUACCGAUCCAUCAGAGGUCUCUUCGGGGGCCGAACUGGCCGUUUCCUCCCAAACGGUCUUUUUCAGGACUCAAUUCAGCAUCGAAUCUUCGCGCUGCUUGAUGGAUGUUUUGCAUGCAGUGGGAAUCGGUGGUUAUUCAGACAUGGAUAUGUUCUUAACUCUUUCUGAAUUGGACCUAUCCUAAAUCGGAAUCGACUCGUUCGGGGUGAGAAGAAUCCUCAUUGAUGCGAUUAUAGUGCUCCGCGAAAUGGUUGGUUUAUAGUGCAAACCCGUGUGAUUUCCCGUCCUCUAUUCCGCCCCCCCCCCCUUUUCCGGAUUUUCUGUGGAGUGUCGGUUUACACGCUGGAUUGUAGUAAUCGUAAGUUCUCCUGCCAGAAAUCGUAAGUUCAGCUCCCUCACUCGACAACACUAUAGUGAAGUGAAUUGGAUAAUAAUAAUAACAGUGCUUCUGGCAGAUUUGUUGCUGGUGAAGUAAUGCAACCUACCACUACUGCUGCUGUACCUACUGCAAGUGUUUUAAGAAACUAAAGUUUAAACUGCUGUUGGUUCUGUGAGUGACUGAUUGUUUUUAAAGCAAGGUACACAUCAUUAGUGAAAAAUGAAGCUUUUAGAGAGUAUUCGCUUUUAGCAAGUUAACUCUGCUCUUGAUAUGUUCACUGGAGACUGCAACAUCAUUGGAAGGUAAUGUAUUGAAGAGUAAAAUUAAUUACCAUUUUUAGGUAUAUAAAAUAUGUAUUAUUGUCACAUUUUUUCCAUAUUUAUAUUUUAUGCACUUGCUUAUUGUUUGUUUUUAAGCAAAAAUGUCGCCGUUUUCAUUGGCUUCCUCAGCAACCAAUCAGAAAACCGGGACUGGUUGCCAUGCAUUUUUCUGCAAAGUUUGAAAAUUGGUGUUGACCUAAUAGUAAAAUUUCUGUAUUACAGAAAUGAAAGCUAUUCUUGCAAAUUGUCAGGACAUGGAAAACAACUGUAUAGCGUUUCCAUUCAGAGGCUGGUGCUGGUCCGGACGAUCUUCAAAUAUUAUCAGCUCCUCAAACUGCGCUUGCUGUUUCCCCAACAGGUUAUUUUAGUAAUCAAAAGUGCAUUGAGCUUUUUAUUUAAAAAAAAUAGUACGAGUCAUUAGACAUACAACAUUUUCUAUUUAGUUGCAGCGUUUCAGGAGAUGAAUAAGGCCCGUUAUGUGACACAAUAAGCCGCAAAACGUUAUUUUAUCUUAUCGCCACACUAAAUGCUUCGUUUCAUCCAAACUAUGAUUUUUCUUAUGCUCGAAGUAAAUAAUUUAGUCGCGAACGAUCAAUUCAAGGCGAGAACGGACUAUGGUUCAAUCUCGAUGUUCCUAAAAACGAAUCCUCUGGCGGGGCUAAACGGAUCAUAGACCGAUCUUGCCUCUGGGGCUCUGAUAAGCAUCUGGCCAUCCCAAACCCCUUAACCUAUGGUAAAGAAGCCUUCGCUUACUUGAAACGGGGGAACGGAACAAUGGCCGACUUGAUGAAUUCCGAGCGGCUCGAAAAAAAACUAUUUUUGUUUUUCGCUGAUAGUAGCUUUCGUAUUACGAAUUAAAUACGAUUGAUACGCUAAAACCUUGCUUUACUCUUAAGCUUUAAGUUUUUGGAAAAUAAAUAAUUUCGAAUGUACACAAGUAGCCGAACAUAAGGCCUGAAGUUUAAAAUCUUUAAAAUUCCCCCCAUAAUGCUAGCUUUUUUAACUAUUAUAGGGAUUAUAACUAACUUAAAAAUGAUUCCACUUAUUGGAAACGAUAGAUUAUGAUAUUUUCUAUUAAAUACCAAAAAAUGGGAAGUAUGGAUGUUAAUUUAAGAUAAAAAAAUGGGAAAAAUCAAAAUUUUAUCUAUAGCGGGUAAAAACUAUAACUAAAUAUUCAUAUUUAAGAAUAAUUUUGGGAAAUAGAAUUUUGUCCGGCAUUUAGUUGGCCUUCAAUGCGGAGCUUACCGAAGUAUGUCAGAAAAAGACUGCAUGGAGUGGGAAUCUUCCGACCCCCAUCCAACCAUUGAUUCCUCCAUCCAAACCGGUGCACCAGAGGUUUCUUCGUGGGCCGAAUCGGCAGUUUUCUCACAAACGGUCUUUUUUAGGACUCACGAGUGGAGGUGGGGGUUGGCCCAUUCAGCAUGGGAUAUGUCCAGUGUGUCAUUCACUAAAUCCAUUUUGACGCUGGAUCUGCCAAAUGUGUAAGUAAGCAAAAAAAUUCACAACCCUGGAGAAACCAAUUUUCAAAGUCAUAAAGAUGAAGGAAAGGGAGAGUAAGAUGGAAAACAGCGCUAUCCACAGCACUAUCCACAGGAUUAUCCGCAGCUUUGGUGGCAGCUUUAGCUGCAGGUUCCCUACCGCUGUUAUUACAGCUAUUGCUUUCCUUGUGUUGCUGCUGCUACCACUUCUACUCCUGCUGCUGCUGUCUCUUCCGGUGCUGCUCCUUCUGCCGUGGCCUCGUAUCCAUCCAUCAACUCGUCUCUCACUGACCCGAUGGAGUGGUGAAACAUUAGUAGGCUAAGAUUAGAAUAUUUUGUUUUUUAUUUACAUUUAAUAAUGUUCUUUUUCAUUUCAAACCCCUCCAGAAACAGUGGCUGCUCAAAGUGGCGAGAACUGUUCUCACUUGCUUUUUUGCCAAUGAUGUCAGGGUUCAUCCCUGGCAUUGAUCCAAAUUUCAACGGCUUGAUCUAAAUUCUCUGAUACAUUUUUGAAAACAGUCAGUAAAAAAAAAAAUAUUUGUCUCCGGUAGUUCCGGUAGCUCAGGCAGCUCCGUUGAAAACUCUGCUAUUCAGAAUUUGAUUAGAAAUAAUAUUUAGAUGCAUUUGAGUUUGUGAAUCUCCCCCCCCCCUACAACGACGAAAAAAUUCCAUGGUAUUCAAUUCUUUGCAUUUAUCUGUUGGCAACUAUCUGCUCACGACGCUGUCGCCUCAUUGACUGAGAUACAGGAUCGCAGGCUGAAUAUACAGCAAUGCCAAUGUCAAAUAUGAAUAUAAAAACACGGCUUUAAAUAAUCAAUAUAUUCUUCUUCUGCAACGCUGCCUGAAUAAGGUGUUCCAUUCCAAAUUCUGCAGCGUGUCUAAACAUAGCCGACUUGAUUGAAUAGUUCAAGCCUAGAGCUUCCCCAUUCUCCCGUGUUUUCGUCUUGUCGCAGUCUCCACCUUUUUUUAAGCGAAGUUCUUAUUGAGAUCAGGGAACUCUACUGAAGGCAAAAACAACUUUAAAAAACCGUGCCAAUUAUUUUGAAUUUUCCGACGCACUAAGUACAGUACCUUGCAUGGAAACUGGGACAGCCGCUAGGUAGUUUUCACGAGUAUCCUGUGUAGAACCCCUAGCGGAUGUCCAAGUUUCCACGUAGGAUACUGUACAACAACAACUAACAGGUAGCUGUUGCUUUUUAGGCGCGACGGACUAUCGGGCUGUAGAUGAAUAAAAAGCUUUCCCAUGAGUGGACUUGAACACUUAUCUAAUGCGUAUUUACAUUCUCCGGACUUUGUAUUUUUUUUUCUCCUAUUCUACAUUUUAUCUUGUUAUAUUUUCUUAGUAGUAAGAAGCAAUAAAAUUCCCUGGUGAGUAAAUGAUGGAUCGUCGUAUAUGUCAAUAUUCUUAUCUUCAUUGAAAUCCGCUUAAUUCACUUCUUCCCCUUCGACUUGUGCCAUUCGUGAUGGGAGAAACCCUGGCAUGCCUUCCACUUGGGCCAGCAGUGUGGAUAUAUACGCUUGCGUUCCUCCCAAUUGGCCCAGCAGUGUUGAUAGAUACGCGGGUGUUCCUUCCACUCGGGCCCAAAGAGUUGGUAGAAACACUGGUGAUCAUUUCAGUCGGACCAGCAGUAUUGAUAGAUACGCUGACGUUUUUUCACUUCUGACAGCAUUGUUGAUAGACUCCGUGCUUUUCUAACACUUCUCCUUCAAAAAAUAAGAGACCAAUUUAAUCGUCCCGGAUGAAAACUUUUCUGACUUGUAUUUAUCUGACCAGCUAUAUAGUAGUAUAUAAGGUAGAUAAUUCAAUUAUUAAAGGCUAAUUAAGGCUAAUUAAACUAGUUUCUGUAGUUUACCCAAAAUUCUGGAAUACCUGGGUGAGAAAUUAACAGUGUGUGUUGAUGGAUUCAUGCUAGCUCGGUAAAUGAAUUUCGCGUCAAAAACAGUUACAGCCUCUUCCACUAGGUGAAAAGGUCUGCUAUAGCUAAAGAAUAUUUUUCUGCUAAUGCCAAUAUUAAAUAAGAUCUCAAACGAUUUCACAAAUACCGGUUUAUGUGGGAAAACAGAUGCCAAACCUAAAUUUGUGUACUCUUCAAUAAUAUUGCCAUUGGCUAUCCCACCAGAAAGUGAGGGAUCUGGCGUUCAACUCAAUAACCUUGAGAAAAGGGGUGUAUUCCCAUAGAUGUUUUGACCGUUUUUUAGCCAAGCCAAUAGACGAUUGUCCACUCGUAGUCCCAUGAGGCUGUUUAAGAGUGCAAACUCCUUUACUCCUUGGCAUGUGCAACGAUAUGGGAAUGAACCACUAUUAGCAGAUGAUAUGACUAUAAAAUUUUAUUCAUAAAAUGAAGUAUCUUUUUUCUGGCCUCAAUGACAAAUAGCUUUGUGAAAUACUUCGAGUAUCCUAGUUGCUAAAGGCCAUUUGGUUUGAUUUUCUUUACUAACUAUCAACUUAAUUUUUUUGUUGUGCUUCUUAGACACAACGUUCGUUUAUCAUAAAUCUUAAAUAACCAUUUUUGUAUCGAUUAUUUAAAAAAAAACUUGCCUUUGUCGUUCAAAAUUUAGGUUGAUCAGAGCAAAAUGUGCCCCGGCGCUUAGGAAAAGUUAGACCAUUUUGCCGUUGUAAACACAAUUAUUGAGUUUUUUUUUUCAAGCAAAAUUCUUAAGUACUUUUUAUCUUUCAAAAAAUAAUUUCCCUUAAUUCAAGUUUUAAUUAAACACAAACAACAUACAAAGUAAUUCAUUAGGUAAAACCAAACUGAAAUUGCUUAACUAAUGCGCUGUAUGUUUAGCCAACUAAAAUUGCAUUUUCUGUUGGCAUUUUAUUUUAUUGUUACAGACACAAUAGUUAGUGAGACCUCGUCUCCUCUAACACGACUCGAUACGACUCUGUGCCCAGGUUUAUGUUUCCCGAUUUCUUUUUUGUCUAAAUUCUUCUUUCAAAAAUCAAAAGCCGCCCUACUCCAUUGAAUUCCAGAGACAGGUCUCCGAGGUUCAACCACGUACGUUAGUCAGGAUGAAUUUAGUGGCUAA